ACUCUCGAAACUCUCGAAUUCGCCCAACUUUUUCGAAAAAAAAAUUCACUUUUACUCUACUCAACCAACCUCGGCAAUCACCAACAAGGCACCGGAGAUUUUUUGAAAUUCUACGAACGAAAUGCCGCUCGAUUAUCAAUCAGAAGACGGAACGACAUCCUCAAGAAAUGGAAUUCCAAAUGGAGCGCUUACGGUCUUAAUAAUUGCUGCAAUUGCUAUUGUAUGUGUUGUUAUCACUCUAUUCUGCAUGUUGGUCAACAAUCGGAGGAAUGCACGCACACGACAAAGAACACAGCAACGCCAGGGACAAACAGUGCUCCGUCUGUCGCCAGCGUCGGCUCUUUCCUCCCCAACUGGCGAUACAGUUCGACCUGCAAGUUUCCCGCCAAUGUACAUAGUAUCACCGUCUUAUGACCCCAAAUUCGAUGCUCCACCAUCAUAUGAGGACGCUGUGAGGACGAUGGUUCAGAAUGGGGAGCCUGGACUACCAAAUCAGACUGUGAUUACGAUACCUGAGCAUUCUCAAUCCACUUCAUCAUCAUCAUCUCUCGAGUCUGGAGCCGCCCGAAUCGACGUGGAAAUGACACAACAUCAUCAUGUUCCGACGACUUCUGGGCUCACCGUCUAA
rnacentral:misc_RNA from 1 species